rnacentral:rRNA from 1 species
GAUGAACGCUGGCGGCGUGCCUAAUACAUGCAAGUCGAACGAAACUUUUUUAUCACCUAGUGCUUGCAUUCAUCGAUAAUGAGUUGAUUGCCUAACGGUCGAGUAACAUGUCGGCAACCUGUCCAAAUGAGGGGUAUUACACUUGGACACAGGUUCUAAUACCUCAUAACGAUCGUUACCGCAUGUUAAUUAUUUAAAAGGUGGCUAUAUUACCGCUUUUGGAUGGGUCCGUGGCGCAUUAGCUUGUUGGUAGGGUAAAGGCUUACCAAGGCACUGAUGCGUAGCGGAAAUGAAAGGUAGAACGGACAGAUUGGGACUGAGACACGGCAGAAACACCGACGGGAAGCAGCAGUAGGGAAUCUUACACGAUGGGCGAAAGGCUGAUAGAGCAAAGCCGCGUGGGUGAAGAAGGUCUACGGAUCGUAAAACGCUGUUGUUAGAGAAGAAAGAACGUGAGAGUAACUGUGCACGUUAUGACAGUAUCUAGCCAGAAAGCCACGGCUAACUACGUG